rnacentral:tRNA from 1 species
UAGCUCAGUUGGUAGAGCAUGGCACUUGCAAUGCCAGGGUUGUGGGUUUGAUUCCCAC